UCAAGAAAUGUUAUGUUUAUGUUUAUAACUGUAUGAUUACUUUAAUGUUGUAAUUUUACUUAGUUUGAGCCUAUAGAUCACUAUGGGUUAUUAAUUAUGUUCUUAAGGUAUAAAACAAUAAAUCACAAAAAAAAUGACUUGCUUUUCUGGACCUUUGUAGAAAAUGGCAGGAAUAAGGCCCAGGAGAUGUAAAAAAAAACCAGAAGAGGAGGCAGUAUAUUAUGCAUCAAUGUGUAAAGACAAUGCUGGAUUUGUAGCAAAAUAUAUCAAUUCAUUCAAAGGUCGGGGAGUGUUCACCACUUCUCACUUUCAUAGAGGAGAUUUUCUCCUUGAAUACCGAGGAGAGGUCAUAAAAAAAGAGGAAUAUGAAAGAAGACUCAAAUUAUAUGACAGUUCACUCGAAGUGUUUUUAUUUGAAUUCCGUUUUAAUGGAAAACAAUUAUGGGUUGAUGCUGCCAAAGAAGAUGGAUCUUUAGGACGUCUUGUGAAUGAUGAUCACGUGAACCCCAACAGCAAAUUGAAAAUUAUCACAGUGGACAAAAAGCCCCAUUUGUGUUUAUUUGCUAGAAAGGACAUUAGUCCUGGGGAAGAAAUCUGUUAUAACUAUGGGGAUUCUGAAUGGCCAUGGAGACACCAGGUAACUUCGGAGACUGAAGAACCUGCCUCAUUCGUCCGUGGAGAUGGGCAUAAAACAUCACAGCCGG